rnacentral:rRNA from 1 species
UACAGAGGUCUCAAGCGUUGUUCGGAUUCAUUGGGCGUAAAGGGUGCGUAGGCGGCGCGGUAAGUCGGGUGUGAAAUCUCGGAGCUUAACUUCGAAACUGCAUUCGAUACUGCCGUGCUUGAGGACUGGAGAGGAGACUGGAAUUUACGGUGUAGCGGUGAAAUGCGUAGAUAUCGUAAGGAAGACCAGUGGCGAAGGCGGGUCUCUGGACAGUUCCUGACGCUGAGGCACGAAGGUCAGGGGAGCAAACGGGG